AUUUUUUGAUUAUUUUAUUUCAAUAGCAUUUUUUUCCCUGUCACAUAGUACUAUACAUAAUUUUUAAUAUCUCUAUGAAAUGUUUUAUUCGAACUUCAAUCUCUAUUACAUUUCAUUUUUAAUAAACUAGGAAGAACUAGAACUUGUCAAGAGGCGCCAAAGCUAGCGGCCACAAUAGUCCAGACCUUUGAUGUUAUCUGAAGAUCCAUGGACACGAAAACAACAACAGAACUAGAACUUAACUAGAGAGAAGUAUAUGGAACACAGUAAAAGACGUCCAGCAACUUAAUUCCAUUCAUUUCCCCACGGAAAGGCAUUGCCACACGUUUCGGAAACAAGAAUUGAGACCCUUGGCUAAUCUUUUACAAUUAAGUUUACUCUAGUUUGAUUUUUCGUAAGAAAAUGAAUUCAAUUUUAUGUCAAAGAAUGUGAAUUACUUCUUUUUUGUAAAUAAUGCUUUUAUUUUACAAGCCUACUUAUAGCUAGCAAUAAAAUAUUUAUUUUCUAAGAUCAUAAA